UUUAAGGAAAAAUUGUGCCCGAGCAACAACUAUCUAAAUAGUCAAAAUUCUUUUUUUUUCAUUACGUCCGGGCAGAGAUUUUAAACACAUCUUAAGUUCCAUAAAGAGUUCUAAGGGAGAAAUUAAAAGUAUUUACCAAACGCUGUUUCGUUCAAUACAUGCUCACGAUUGGAUCAAGAGCGAAAAGAAGAAAUAAAUUGCAAGCACUUAAACUGCUCCGCAUUUACUUUGAUCUGCCAAAAUUGACGACUGCUCAAUGCAAGCUCACAAUUGGAUCUGAAAUUUAAACUUGCAUUUCGAAUAACAUGAUAUUCCCAUUUGUGCACACAUAACCUCACAGGCAAGUGCCACAGAGAUUUCUCUUUUGUUGCUAUUGUCCUGUCAAGAUGAGCAAUAAAAACCCCUUGAUGAGAGUGCAGCCCAUUUACAGUGCGUAACCCCAACAAUAACAACUGACUACGGUGGCUGCAAUGCCAUGCGACUAAGUGCGAUUUGCCAUGCCUCUCGCCGCCAUCCGACCCCUAACAAUGUUGUCGCUCUGUGAAUCUGCUAGACUAUGCACUGACUGGUAUGAGGGGGUAGGCAGCAAAUUUUCGAAUGCUAUGGCCGUGCCUAGGCCAAAGCGACUUGGACAUAUCCAAUAAUGGAUGCAAUGCAAUGCAACUGCGCUCUUGCAACGGUACAACAGCAACAACACCAACAACAAUGCCAGUUGCAUCAACAAUAGCCACCAAAUUAGCCGACACACAUACGCACUCACAUAAAAGACUCUGCUGAAUGCCCUGCAUAUGGCUCCAUUGUAUAAUGGAGCACUACAAAUUGCAGGCUAGCUAACAAUACGACAGUCCAAAAGAUAGAAAGAGUGAGUGGAGGUGAGCGAGUGAGGGGCUGUGGGGGCCAAAUGUCACAUACCAUUUAGCUGACAGACAGCUUGAACCGCAGGCUGUUGAGUGACUUUUGUAGCCUGCUUGUGACUGAGCCCAGGACAGGACAGGUGUGCAUCUGCAUCCGUUGAGCAUAAUCUGGUGACAUCCGCGCCAUUGGGCAUCUCCAAAAAUGUGGAGGCUAUAGAAAGGCUUGAGAGAGCACUUAAGAUUUAAGAAGACUGGAGAAAUGGGUUAUGAUGUCCUAAGUUAUGCAACAGGCAGAACGAAAAGCAUCCGACACCACAAAGUUUAUACAGUGAAAGCUUCCACAACCGGACGCCCACUGUCGUGGCGUUUUUAUUUUUUUCGCGAAAUUCACUUUGUACGGAAAAGAGUUAGUGAAGCUUACGAAAAUGUCUGAUUAAGGGAGUUGUCCAUUAUGGAAGCCUUUACUGCUAAUUACUGAGCAGGACGACAAGAUGAAUCGAUAUCGCCACGUCCGUUCAGUGGCCAGUUUAUCUGGACUUCAUUUAUUUGAAUUAAAGCCACUUGGAAUCUUUCUAAGAUAUAAUUAAAAUAGCUGGGGGAAUAAAAUUAAAAUCAAGCCAGUUAUAUACCAUACUGUUCCUCAGACUUUUAACAGAGUCCAAAAAGGUAUUUCUUUCUAAGAUAUAAAUUUGUUGCCCGAGCA